UAAAAAUAUAUAAUUGGCGACUAGAGAUAAAAGAAAUAGACUUUAUACUGUUCGAAUUAUUUCGGUUCUUUACAUACAGCUAAUGAUACAACUUGUUAUGAAUUUUAUAACAUAACAAUGCAUUCUGAUUGGUUCCUUUAUAUACUUGUGAUUUAAAGAAUUUUAAGUUUUUCAUUCUGCCGUCGAUAGCCGAAAACUAACCCUCCCAUUAUUUAUCCCACCCAAUAUUUAUAAUCAGUAGUUUCAGUCUCAUUUUCUGUGGAAGUUUUAUUUUUCAGUGUAUGUUCCUUGCCGGUGUUACUGUGGAUAUACGAAUUUACAAUAUAAUCGACUGAUUAAAGG
rnacentral:lncRNA from 1 species